ensembl:lncRNA novel transcript
GGCGACCCACGACCGGCUGGUCACUUGCUGCCACCUCGCAAAGGCGCAUCUCUAGUUCAGUGGUGAGCUGCGGCCCGGUCGCUGCAACUCGCUCCAGGCCUCCGGAUUCGUGGCCUCGGUGUCCCUCGCGGAGCCCUCGGUGUGUCGCUUGCAGGCUCUUUUUUUGAAGAAAGCAGGGAGGGAAUGGCCUUGUGAGAGACUCCAGGAGCAAAGAGCGACCCUCACAAGGCCCAAGUCCUCCCAGAGCUCAGGGAAGCUGUCGCUUCUGACAGAAGAAGGGAGACAAAGCUCCCUCCUGUGUGUCCCUGGUGGUCUAGUGGCUAGGAUUCGGCGCUUUCACCGCCGCGGCCCGGGUUCGAUUCCCGGCCAGGGAAUUGUUUUACACUGGCCGCCCUCCCGCAGGAAUCUUCCUUCACUACGCUGUCAGCCGGCCUGCUCCAAGGGCCAGAAGCAGAACAGUCUCCGCAGCGGGGUUAAAGCCGGGCGAAGGAGGGCAAGCGCUGGUGGACCACCUCUCACGACACACCGUUCCUGUUUAUCUCCGUGUCCGUCAUCCGCCGAAGCAGCUUUAGAGAGCGACUGAGCGUCUCGCUCCGGUGUACACAGCCCGGCAGAGAUGCCAGCCCCCGUGGAGCUGCACCCAAUAAGCCCACCUUCUUUCCCGUCGCCACCCCGGAGACGCCCAUCGGGCUGAGCUGCGAAUAACUAAGAGAGAGGCCAAGCCAAGUCGUGGCGUUUGUGGCAACCCCGGACACGGGCACCAGCCAGUCAGCGGAGCCUCCUCACCUCCGUUGCCAGCGAAGGCGCUCGUUAGGCCUUGGGAAGAGGCGACCGGAGGCGAUGCCCGCGAAUUUGUUAGGGGGCCUAGGGAGAAAACCGUGGGGACUCAGGGCUGGAACUUUAGUGUGAUGGGGCAGAAGCUUAAUUUUCACAUGAUUCUCAACAAAUGGCAGCAUAUCCCAUGUAUUAUCAUGUCCAAUGGCUGCAAUAUGAAGGAGGCUUUUCCGAAAUAGUUGCUGCUUUGGUAAAAAAUUAACUAGAUGGAUUCAAAGUCAAAUUUGAAGAAAGCUGAGCAGGCAGAAGAAACAAUCAGUGAACCUGAAGAUAAGGCAAUGGAAAUCAUCCAGUUUGAGGAACAGAAAUAAAAAAAGAUUGAAGAAAAGUGAACAGAGCCUAAGUGACCAUCAAGUGGA